rnacentral:rRNA from 1 species
AUGUCCGUGGGAGAAUCCGUAGGUUCUCAUAGUCUGCAUUCGUUUGCAGAAUUCUUACGGCAACACAUUAACUCUCCCGAAGCCAGUUCCUGUUUGUCCAGCAAGCGAAAGCCUUUGAAGCCUUUGAACAUAUUGAAGCCAUUCAGUUUGAAGUUCAUGGCUGCAAAAAAAUCUGUAAGGAAGGGUGGCAGACAGCGUCGAGGGGGAACAUCAAAAGAUUUGCCUGAUGACCUCGCAGACCUUUACAAGACAGAUCCUGAUGAGGAUUACAAUCAGCGCAAGACACGAAUCCAAUGGAUUCGACGAUAUUGGGCUGAACAAUGGUUCAAGUACAAGUUCGUGACCCAGGAGUACGCUGAGAAGAAUGCUAUCAAAAGUCCUUGGGGUGAUAUUCUCUAUCGAGGCCUUCCCCCCAAGAACAGAGCUGAAGCUAUUGCACAAGAAUUCUAUCCUUGUAUGGUCCGUGGACCAUAA